AGUGUGACACCGCAACCAGUGAUCACACAACCCACUGGGACACCACCUCGAGCGAUGCCGUGUCACACUGUGACUCUGCGCUGCCUGGGCUCACGGAGGAGGCCGACGCCACAACGACGGAGGGCGUGGCGAGCACUGACGCCGCGCCUGUUCAGCACCUGGCCGAUGCCCCCAGCCUGGACUUUCUUGGGGAGAGAGCUGUCUCUGCUGAAGCAGCCAUAACGCCAGACAGAGACGUGCAGCAGAGCCCCCCCACGGUGCCCAAGCUGGCCUAGGUGAAGGAGGAGGAGGAGGAGGAAAGCCCUGGGGCUUCUCCAGCACAGCAGCCUGAAGAGGUGCAGCAGGUGCAGCCCCCACAGGAGGAUGCAGACCAGGAGCGGACA